rnacentral:rRNA from 1 species
GACGAACGCUGGCGGCGUGCUUAACACAUGCAAGUCGAACGGAAAGGCCCUGCUUUUGUGGGGUGCUCGAGUGGCGAACGGGUGAGUAACACGUGAGUAACCUGCCCUUGACUUUGGGAUAACUUCAGGAAACUGGGGCUAAUACCGGAUAGGAGCUCCUGCUGCAUGGUGGGGGUUGGAAAUUUUCGGCGGUUGGGGAUGGACUCGCGGCUUAUCAGCUUGUUGGUUGGGUAGUGGCUUACCAAGGGUUUGACGGGUAGCCGGCCUGAGAGGGUGACCGGAGAAAUGGGGACGGAGAUACGGACCAGACUCGUACGGGAGGAAGGAGUGGGGAAUAUUGCACAAUGGGAGGAAGCAUGAGGCAGAAACGCAGCGUGCGGGAUGACGGGCUUCGGGUGGUAAACAGAUUUCGAAUGAGACGAAGAGUGAGUGACGGUAAUGGGUAAAGAAGCAACGGCUAACUACGUG